rnacentral:rRNA from 1 species
AUGUGGGGCUGGGGCAAACAGGAAAAGGCUGAUGACACCCAGUCGUCGCCGGGAAUGUGGGGCUGGGGCGAAGAGGAAGAGGAAGAGGAAGAGGCUCAUGACGAGCAUCGCACCCGGUCGUGGCCGAUAGUGUGGGGCGAAGAGGACGAGACUGAUGACGAGGAGGACACCCGAUCGCCGCCGACAUCGUGGGACGAAAAUACUGAUGACGAGGACGUUCCCUCCGGGAGUUCCGAGGACGUUCCUUCCGGGAGUUCGGAGGACGUUCCCUCAGGGAGUUCCGAGGACGUUUCUUCGGGGAGUUCCGAGGAUGUUCCCUCCGGGAGCUCCGAGGAAGAGGAGCCCAUGUACAAUUACAGCACGGUGGAUGAGGUCAUUACUGCACUGAGAGAAGCUGGGCUUGAAUCAUCAAAUCUGAUUUUUGGCAUUGACUUCACCAAAAGCAACGAUUGGUCAGGUAAGCAUUCCUUCGGAGGAGAAUCUCUGCAUGCCAUUAGUCGCACCCCAAAUCCAUAUGAGCAAGCCAUUUCUAUUAUUGGGCGAACACUAUCACCUUUUGAUGAUGAUAACUUGAUACAAUGCUUUGGAUUUGGUGAUGUUUCCACAUGUGAUCAUUCCGUCUUCAGCUUUUACGAAGAUUACCGUCCUUGUUGUGGUUUUGAGGAGGUUCUUGACAGAUACAAACAAAUGAUUCCAUAUUUGGACCUUUCAGGACCAACUUCUUUUGCACCUCUUAUCUACGCGGCGAUUUCAGUUGUUGAAAACAGUAACUACCAACAUCAUGUCCUCGUCAUCAUAGCUGAUGGACAGGUAGCCACCUCAAAGUCUUACAGCAUCGUAAGUCCACAAGAAGAGGCAACUAUACAAGCACUUAUUGAUGCUAGCUUCUAUCCUCUUUCAAUUGUGAUGGUGGGAGUGGGCGAUGGACCAUGGGAUGAAAUGCAGCCUGCUGAUGAGGGUAUUCCUGCCAGGGCUUUUUACAAUUUCCAGUUUGUGAACUUUACUGACAUCAUGUCAACAAGCAAGGAUAUGGAGAAGAAGGAGGCUGCAUUUGCCUUUGCAGCUCUGAUGGAAAUACCCACUCAAUACAAAGCGGCCCAAGGCCUCCUACCUCCAGAGUGGCACGAAGAAAUGGCUGACCCUUGGAUGAUCCUUCCGCCACCAAUUGAAGUCCUUGAACGUGACGAUGCUGUUGCAGCUACCUAUGCUCCAGCCGCAACCUUCCAGUUAACCGAUGUUGGCAAUGGCGCUUUGGAUGAACAGGUAUGCCCCAUCUGCUUAAGGAAUCCGAGGGACAUGGCUUUCCAGUGCGGUCAUCUGACAUGCAGGAAUUGCGGUCCGGCGUUAUCGACCUGCCCCGUGUGCUGUGCCCUGAUCACGCAUGAUGCUCUUCUCGUAAGGAGGGCGCCGCCUUCUGAAGCGGAGGAUCCGCCGUUCCAUCCAAUUUGGUAUCAAGAAUAA